UGAACAACUAAUAAAACCUUUUUAAAACAGAAUUUAAUAAUUAAUCUUAAUAAUGUACUGUUUCUCAGCUCUGAUGGAAAAUACAUUUUGACUGGUGGUGAAGAUGAUCUAGUACAAGUUUGGAGUAUGGAAGAUCGGAAGGUUGUAGCAUGGGGCGAGGGACACAACUCAUGGGUUAGUGGAGUUGCUUUUGACUCAUAUUGGUCAUCGCCAACUUCAGAUGUCACAGGAGAAAAUGUCAUGUACCAUUUCAGUUCUGUUGGUCAGGUAUAGAAAGCUUCUAACUUACAAAUUAUCCAUAGUAUCUAAUGUAUCAACAUCAAUAAAGUUUCUUAUUGAAUAAAAUGUGUAUGGUUUACUUUU